AGAAUUAUAUGUUGAGUUCAUUGCCAACAUGUUAGAAGCCUAAUGGGUCACACACCUAAAAUGAAUGUUGAAAAUAAAAUGACAGAGGUAAUUUGUCAAGACCCGGAACUCCCAUCGAGCCCGUGACAACCGCCGCGGCGUCCCGAUAGGCACUCAUUACCUCGAAUGUCGAUCGAAACCCCGCAAGGCUUAGCAUCAGCUUCUGCAUCUCCCCAGUGAGCGACAGUUAUUAAAUCUCACAUUUCAAAAAAAAAUCAUAAGUCAUUUCCAAAUCAAAACAAUAAAAUAUUACUUUCUGGCUCACAGGGGCAUUUUCGUCAUUUUUCUUCGAAAAUACCGAAACUCGCCAAAAACAUGGUGUAAAAGCUAAAUAUAUUCAUACAUAUUUUAAAUUAAAUAACUGAAGAAUAAAAUUACUUUUACAGUAACACGUGGACCCCCAACUGACUAAGAAAAUGUAGGGUUACGAACCCUUACUUUCUAAGAUGCAACUUCGAGAUUAAUUUUCAUCUUAAUCAACUAUCAACAAAUUGUCCUGAGCUUGAAAAAUGUAUAGGAAGAAGGGGUGAGAUUAUAAAAUCCCAGUGAGUAGACAGACAUCAUCAAAAUAAUCUAAAGUCGAGUAAUAGGAGAUAAUUAAAAUAAUUCAUCCCAACCCAUAUAAAUAAUUGGAUUUCAUCAAAUUACUCAACAUGGCUUAUGCACUUUUCAAAAACUUGGCCUUUGCCAAAAAUUCAUUCUCGGGGAUACCCCGCGAAGGCAUCUUACCGAGACCGCCAAAGCUGUUUAUUGUCACAUACACAAACACAUUUCACCUCUAACAACACAGCCGUUCCUCGGCGUUGGCUGAGUCCCAGUUUCACGUGGUGGCCAGCGUGAAGUGUACUCAAAUCCUACCUCGGGAGUUAUCCUACGCGCCUCUCCAAUCGAGGUAAGCUCAAUAAUUAGGAACCGUGCCCCUCUAAUUAGGCUGGCCCACUGAACCCCCAUCACUACAGUGCCCACUUUAUAAUCCACCAACCAAUAAAAUCACAAUAAUAUGACAUGGCUCACUUAACACAUUCAAGGUAAAUCAAAGCAGUUCACAUAUUCUUAAAAUCAUAAAAAUAACCAGUCAUACCCACAUUUAUCAUAAGCCAUUUAAUGUAAAAUCAUGGAUAAACAACACAAUCAUAGUAUAGGUCUCCAAUUACUCUAUUUUUGAAAUCAUUAUUAAAUUUUCAAAAAUUUUAUAAAAUCCCAUUUUCCCAUAAAACACAAUAAUUUUCCAAUUAAACCAUUUUUUUCAUAAAAUCACACAAUUAAAUAAAUCUACUCUAGAUAAUUAAGACGAUAGUAAGUUUACUCACUGUUCUAGGAGUCGAUAUACUCCUAUUUUCAGUUCGCGAGUACAAUCCUUUAACCGUAUCUAAUGGCUCACCACCUAGCCAUAAUCCAUGGCACAUAUUUCAAUUAAAUUGUGUCUAACAGUCAUAAGCUAUUUCAGGCUCGAUAUAUAUGCAUGAUAUGAAAUGAAAAAUGCACAGGUAGCCAUCUAGACCAGGUAUUGACCUAAGUCGAUUUUUCAUCCAAUAAAUUAGCCAAUGCGUCCAAUUUCACUCCAACUUUCUCUAUUUCUUUUCCAAUCCCUCAAUUCACCAAGCACAACUAAUUAACACACAAUUAGGCAAAUUUAUCUUCACUUUUCUUCUUGGAACUUUCGGCUAUUGAAGGUUCAUGGGGAAAAUGGAUUCUUUUCUUGUUGUUUUGUUUCUAAACAUGUUUAACUAACUCUAAACACCAACAUAACUCAAAAUCAAACAAUUCUAACAUCUUUCUCUCUCCACACCCAUUUUGACCAGCCAUAAUUUCAUCAUGAAAACAUGUAAUUUAACCAUGGAAAUUAAGGAAAAAUGCAUGGGUAAGGUAAAUCACUAGCAAAAUCAAAGAAAAUUUUACCUUUGCUUGAUCAAAUCCUUGAAUUCCAACACUUUCUCUUUGAUUUUUCCCACCUAGGGUUUGUUCUUCCUUGGUUUCUCUUCUCUUCUGGUUUGG
rnacentral:lncRNA from 1 species